rnacentral:rRNA from 1 species
AUUGAACGCUGGCGGCAUGCCUUACACAUGCAAGUCGAACGGUAACAGGUUAAGCUGACGAGUGGCGAACGGGUGAGUAAUGUAUCGGAACGUGCCCAGUCGUGGGGGAUAACUGCUCGAAAGAGCAGCUAAUACCGCAUACGACCUGAGGGUGAAAGCGGGGGAUCGCAAGACCUCGCGCGAUUGGAGCGGCCGAUAUCAGAUUAGGUAGUUGGUGGGGUAAAGGCUCACCAAGCCGGCGAUCUGUAGCUGGUCUGAGAGGACGACCAGCCAGACUGGGACUGAGACACGGCCCAGAAGCCUACGGGAGGCAGCAGGGGGGAAUUUUGGACAAUGGGCGCAAGCCUGAUCCAGCCGUGCCGCGUGCGGGAAGAAGGCCUUCGGGUUGUAAACCGCUUUUGUCAGGGAAGAAAAGGUUCUGGCUAAUACCUGGGACUCAUGACGGUACCUGAAGAAUAAGCACCGGCUAACUACGUGCCAGCCGCCGCCGUAACAC